rnacentral:rRNA from 1 species
GUAGUCCACGCCGUAAACGAUGAGUGCUAAGUGUUGGAGGGUUUCCGCCCUUCAGUGCUGCAGCAAACGCAUUAAGCACUCCGCCUGGGGAGUACGACCGCAAGGUUGAAACUCAAAGGAAUUGACGGGGGCCCGCACAAGCGGUGGAGCAUGUGGUUUAAUUCGAAGCAACGCGAAGAACCUUACCAGGUCUUGACAUCCUUUGACCACUCUAGAGAUAGAGCUUCCCCUUCGGGGGCAAAGUGACAGGUGGUGCAUGGUUGUCGUCAGCUCGUGUCGUGAGAUGUUGGGUUAAGUCCCGCAACGAGCGCAACCCUUAUUGUUAGUUGCCAUCAUUUAGUUGGGCACUCUAGCGAGACUGCCGGUGACAAACCGGAGGAAGGUGGGGAUGACGUCAAAUCAUCAUGCCCCUUAUGACCUGGGCUACACACGUGCUACAAUGGGAAGUACAACGAGUUGCGAAGUCGCGAGGCUAAGCUAAUCUCUUAAAGCUUCUCUCAGUUCGGAUUGUAGGCUGCAACUCGCCUACAUGAAGCCGGAAUCGCUAGUAAUCGCGGAUCAGCACGCCGCGGUGAAUACGUUCCCGGGCCUUGUACACACCGCCCGUCACACCACGAGAGUUUGUAACACCCGAAGUCGGUGAGGUAACCUUUUUGGAGCCAGCCGCCUAAGGUGG